AGAUGACUCUCGGCAACGGAUAUCUAGGCUCUUGCCACGAUGAAGAACGUAGCGAAAUGCGAUACUUGGUGUGAAUUGCAGAAUCCCGUGAACCAUCGAGUUUUUGAACGCAAGUUGCGCCCGAGGCCACCUGGCCAAGGGCACGCCUGCCUGGGCGUCACGC
rnacentral:rRNA from 23 species